AUUACAGAACUUACAGGCACGAUAUCUGAACAUAAUAGUUCUCUUGAUGUGUCUGUACGAAUAAAAAACAAUGUAUAUCUUUAUUUUCUACAUAGCAAUUUUACACACUACGCAUGGAUUCGUUAGUUUUGGACAUUCGUACAGACCCUGGAAUGAUACAGCAAAUCCGAACCGAACAAAUCUGUUUUGUCAUUCUGACUGUGAUCAACAUUUAUCCAAACACAGAGUAGAACAUUGUUGUCGAUGCCAUGUGCAACCUGUCUGGGAUCUGGUGCUCACGGACGUUGACUUUCUUAAUGUAGAGUAUAUAAGGAGGCGUGGAACAGCAUUUAUCGUUUCGAUCAAACAACUUAUGAAAUACAAGUACCAGAUAUUGGUACAUACAUAUGGAUUCCUCAGCGAAAUCCCUGGAAAUGUUUGUGAAUUUGCACAAAAAUUGGUAAAACUUGACCUUUCACAAAACGCAAUUACAGUUCUUGAAAAUAUCAGCUGCUUGAAAAAUUUGGACACGCUCGUCUUAGCACGAAAUAAAAUAACACAGGUUAAAAACGAAACUUUUUCCGGAUUGUCGUUGUUACGUGUAUUAGAUUUGUCAAACAACGUCAUAAAAGUGCUUGAACCGAACACACUGUCAGAUACCUCGCUGUUUCUUCACAGUGCAAAUUUCCGUCAAAACCAAAUGCAGACCAUUGACAUAACCAAUGUUGUCAUUGAAAACCCUUCUGCAAAAUCGAUUACACAGACAAUAAAAUGACCGAUUUAACAAAUGAAGUUUCUUUUCGAAUUGAUCCUGAUAAAAUUUAUGGCGACGGAGGUUAUGUCGAUUUAGCUGACAACAUGUUUCAAACAUGGAUAAACUUUACUGAUUUGGGCUUUUAUGACCUUAACCUUUUUGGAAAGGUUAUUUCCUAUGGUUUUGAUUUACGAGGAGCAAACUGGACCUGCGACUGUAAAAUGCAACCAUUUCUGGAGAAAGUGAAACCUUAUUUAGGGAAAAUAUGGAGAGAUUAUUACAAUAUAACGUGCACAGAACCUCCCGAAUUGUCAGGGAUCUCUAUUGCAGAUAUGACCAUGAAAAACAAAUUGGAUAACUUAAUAUGCAAUAUUUCAGUUUCCAGUGGAUGUCCUCUUGGUUGUCAUUGUUACGAACAGCCAAGCGAGAGGCGAACUGUGGUGAACUGUACGGGAGUAGGGUUAACAACAAUGCCCUCCAAACUUCCGGCUUUCAGUAAUAUUGAGUUAUUAUUGAAGAACAAUUUAAUACCCGAACUAAGCGAUAUGGAAUGUUUAACACAACUUAAAAAAUUAGAAAUUAAUAAUAAUCCGCUUCAGAGGAUCUCAUCGGGUUUGGCUAACCGAAUAAAAUACAACGUUGAUAUCAGUUUAAAUUGCACGAAUCUCGAAAACAUUCCGAUCACGUUUAAACAAUUAGACCAACAUCGAGUGAAAUUAGGCAUUUGCAACAUAACCUGUGACUGCUCGUCCAAAUGGGUAAAAGAAUGGAUUUCUGCAAAAUAUGAUAAUUCUAAUCACAAUGAAGUGUACUGUAAAACAUCUGGGGGGAAUAUUCCUAUUAUUUCAUUUUACUUUGAUGCAUUGGAUUGCGCGGUCGAACAGUUCCUAAUUUACAUUGCUAUCGCUAUAGCUUUGUUUUUAAUUCUUUUGUCGGUUUGUAUGUUAGUGCUCUACCAUUACCGGUAUGAAUUAGUCCUUAUUCACAAAAACCCAACCACUGGCAGAGAAAAUAUGGUCUCAAUGCUAUACGAUAUCUAUAUCGUUGUAAAUGAAAAUAACAACGAGGCACUUUUAUGGGCAAAGACGGUUUUAACCCAUAAACUAAAAAGACUCGGGUAUAACACAUACUUUCCAUGCAGGGAUAACAUUUUUGGAGACGUUAAAGAGGAACAGAUUAUUCAAAUGAUAUCGGAGAGCAGGGAUGUUAUUGUUCUUCUAACAUCAGAAUUUAAAUCACAUGAGGAAGAUUUAAACACGCUUUAUGCGAAUUUGGAAUGGCGCCAUGCUUGGAACAAUUUCAAAACUAAUUCCAGUGAGCGAAACCUUAUUGUUAUCAAUUUUGAUCAAUUGAAAGCAAGGGAUUUUGACGUAUCUCCCCUAAAGGCGUUUCUCCGUUUAAAGAUGACGUUAGAUUUUGCAGACAGAAGUCACAGCCUUAUGGGAGACCUGCUGGCAAGAAUUGGGCCCCCGUCUCGUGUAAAUAAAAAACCAAUCUACAAACAGACACACAAGGAUCACACACAAUUUAUUGAGCUGUAUUUUGAGUGAAAAAAGAUUGCACUUUAGACUGAAUAUUAGUAUUCUGAACGUACGGUAUAAUAGCCUGGAUUUUUUUUUUUUACAUGAUUUAUUAAAAUGUGAAUAAAGAACGCAUAGACGCU
rnacentral:sRNA from 1 species